rnacentral:rRNA from 1 species
UACGUAGGGAGCAAGCGUUGUCCGGAAUCAUUGGGCGUAAAGCGCGCGUAGGCGGCCCGGUAAGUCCGUUGUGAAAGCCAAAGGCUCAACCUUUGAAUGCCGAUGGAUACUGCCGGGCUCGAGUCCGGAAGAGGCGAGUGGAAUUCCUGGUGUAGCGGUGGAAUGCGCAGAUAUCAGGAGGAACACCAAUAGCGAAGGCAGCUCGCUGGGACGGUACUGACGCUAAGGCGCGAAAGCGUGGGGAGCGAACAGG